rnacentral:rRNA from 1 species
AGGGGGGGGGGGGUGCUUAACACUGCCACGUCGACGGACUCAUAUUGAAACCUAGUGAUUUAUGAGUUAGUGGCCCCCUUAUGAGUAACGCGUGGAUAACCUGCCGUAUACCGGGCCCAUAACACUUAGAAAUAGGUGCUAAUACCGCAUAAGCGCACGGCUCCGCAUGGGGCAGUGUGAAAAACUCCGGUCCCAUACGAUGGAUCCGCGUCUGAUUAGCUAGUUGGCGGGGUAACGGCCCACCAAGGCAGCGAUCAGUAGCCGGCCUGAGAGGGUGGACGGCCACAUUGGGACUGAGACACGGCCCAAACUCCUACGGGAGGCAGCAGUGGGGAAUAUUGCACAAUGGGGGAAACCCUGAUGCAGCGACGCCGCGUGAGUGAAGAAGUAUCUCGGUACGUAAAGCUCUAUCAGCAGGGAAGAAAAUGACGGUACCUGACUAAGAAGCCCCGGCUAAUUACGUGCCAGCAGCCGCGGUAAUACGUAGGGGGCAAGCGUUAUCCGGAUUUACUGGGUGUAAAGGGAGCGUAGACGGAAGCACAAGUCUGGAGUGAACUCCCGGGGCUUAACCCCGGAACUGCUUUGGAAACUGUGCGGCUGGAGUGCAUGAGGGGUAUGCGGAAUUCCUAGUGUAGCGGUGAACUGCGUAUAUAUUAGGAGGAACACCGGUGGCGAAGGCGGCUUACUGGACUGUUACUGACGUUGAGGCUCAAAAGCGUGGGAAGCAAACCGGAUUAUAUACCCUGAUAG